AGUGCACAUGGUGGAUGCCUUGGCGAUUACAGGCGAUGAAGGACGUAGUAGCUUGCGAUAAGCUGCGGGGAGCUAGCAAACGAGCUUUGAUCCGCAGAUUUCCGAAUGGGGAAACCCGGCCUUUUAGGUCAUUGCAUGCUGAAUACAUAGGCAUGCAAAGCGAACGCGGCGAACUGAAACAUCUAAGUAGCUGCAGGAAAAGAAAUCAACCGAGAUUCCCAAAGUAGUGGCGAGCGAAAUGGGAUGAGCCUGUACGUGAUAGUCGGACUGAUAGCAGAAGCCUCUGGAAAGUGGCGCCAUAGUGGGUGAUAGCCCCGUAUGCGAAAUCAGACCGGUGGUACUAAGCGUACGACAAGUAGGGCGGGACACGAGAAAUCCUGUCUGAACAUGGGGGGACCAUCCUCCAAGGCUAAAUACUCGUAAUCGACCGAUAGUGAACCAGUACCGUGAGGGAAAGGCGAAAAGAACCCCGGGAGGGGAGUGAAAUAGAUCCUGAAACCGUGUGCAUACAAACAGUCGGAGCCUCUUCGUGGGGUGACGGCGUACCUUUUGUAUAAUGGGUCAGCGACUUACAUUCAGUGGCGAGGUUAACCGGAUAGGGGAGCCGUAGAGAAAUCGAGUCCGAACAGGGCGACAGUCGCUGGGUGUAGACCCGAAACCAAGUGAUCUACCCAUGGCCAGGAUGAAGGUGCGGUAACACGCCCUGGAGGUCCGAACCCACUAAUGUUGAAAAAUUAGGGGAUGAGCUGUGGGUAGGGGUGAAAGGCUAAACAAACUUGGAAAUAGCUGGUUCUCUCCGAAAACUAUUUAGGUAGUGCCUCAAGUAUCACCACCGGGGGUAGAGCACUGUUAUGGCUAGGGGGUCAUUGCGACUUACCAAACCAUUGCAAACUCCGAAUACCGGUGAGUGCGAGCUUGGGAGACAGACAUCGGGUGCUAACGUCCGGUGUCAAGAGGGAAACAACCCAGACCGCCAGCUAAGGUCCCAAAGAUUGGCUAAGUGGAAAACGAAGUGGGAAGGCUAAAACAGUCAGGAUGUUGGCUUAGAAGCAGCCACCAUUUAAAGAAAGCGUAAUAGCUCACUGAUCGAGUCGUCCUGCGCGGAAGAUGUAACGGGGCUAAGCCAGUCACCGAAGCUGCGGAUAUGUCUUUGACAUAUGGUAGGAGAGCGUUCUGUAAGCCUGCGAAGGUGUCUUGUAAAGGAUGCUGGAGGUAUCAGAAGUGCGAAUGCUGACAUGAGUAGCGAUAAUGCGGGUGAAAAGCCCGCACGCCGUAAGCCCAAGGUUUCCUGUUCAACGUUCAUCGGAGCAGGGUGAGUCGGCCCCUAAGGCGAGGCAGAGAUGCGUAGCUGAUGGGAAGCAGGUUAAUAUUCCUGCACCGUCGUAUGAUGCGAUGGGGGGACGGAUCGCGGAAGGUUGUCUAGCUGUUGGAAUAGCUAGUUUUUGACUCAUAGAAGGCGCUUAGGCAAAUCCGGGCGCGUAAUUCAAGGGGUUGAGACGAGCGCUCAUGUAGCGCGAAGCAAUCGGAAGUGGUUCCAAGAAAAGCCUCUAAGCUUCAGUCAUACGAGACCGUACCGCAAACCGACACAGGUGGGCGAGAUGAGUAUUCUAAGGCGCUUGAGAGAACUCGGGAGAAGGAACUCGGCAAAUUGGUACCGUAACUUCGGGAUAAGGUACGCCCUAGUAGCUUGAUUGGUUUACUCCAUGAGGGCCAAAGGGUUGCAAUAAAAUGGUGGCUGCGACUGUUUAAUAAAAACACAGCACUCUGCAAACACGAAAGUGGACGUAUAGGGUGUGACGCCUGCCCGGUGCUGGAAGAUUAAAUGAUGGGGUGCAAGCUCUUGAUUGAAGUCCCAGUAAACGGCGGCCGUAACUAUAACGGUCCUAAGGUAGCGAAAUUCCUUGUCGGGUAAGUUCCGACCUGCACGAAUGGAGUAACGAUUUCCCUACUGUCUCCACCAUGAACUCGGUGAAAUUGCAUUACGAGUAAAGAUGCUCGUUACGCGCAGAAGGACGGAAAGACCCCGGGACCUUUACUAUAGUUUGGUAUUGGUGAUUGGGACGGUUUGUGUAGGAUAGGUGGGAGACGUUGAUGCGGCCACGCUAGUGGUGGUGGAGUCGUUGGUGAAAUA
rnacentral:rRNA from 1 species